AUCCACCUUUAGCUGCAUUCGACGCACGCGCAACGAGCGACCGAGGUCUUCGGCCAUUUUACUUGGGUUCGUCUCAGGGAAAGGACGUUAGUUUCCUUACUGCAGAGAAUAACGGAUCUCGCAGCAUGGUAAACGGAAGAAUUCCGUCGGUCUUCUCCAAGACCUACGUCACUCCCAGAAGACCCUAUGAGAAAGCUCGUCUUGAUCAAGAACUUCGAAUAAUCGGUGAAUACGGUCUUCGAAACAAGCGUGAGGUAUGGCGAGUGAAGUACACUCUGGCCAAGAUUCGCAAAGCCGCUCGUGAGUUGCUCACGUUGGAAGAGAAAGACCCAAAACGGCUUUUUGAAGGAAACGCUUUGUUGCGUCGUCUGGUAAGAAUCGGUGUAUUGAAUGAGGCUCACAUGAAGCUCGAUUACGUAUUAGGUCUGAAGAUCGAAGACUUCUUGGAGCGACGUCUGCAGACUCAGGUGUUCAAAUUAGGACUGGCCAAGUCCAUUCAUCAUGCACGUGUGCUUAUUCGUCAAAGACACAUUCGGCACCAGGACAACGACACCUGAUUGAGUAAUCCUGGUUGACCGCAUUCGUAAAAUCCGAAAUACUCAAUUGCUAAUGAAAUUUUAUUCGCGCAGGCCACUUAAGUGCCGUUAAUCGGCCUUAACGCCUGAAUUAACUCUUCAAAGAGAAAGAAAGGAACUUUGAGUGCGCAAGCAAGUCGUGAACAUUCCGUCGUUCAUCGUGCGACUGGAUUCGCAGAAACACAUCGACUUCUCGCUCAAGUCGCCCUUCGGUG